rnacentral:rRNA from 2 species
GAGUUUGAUCCUGGCUCAGAACGUACGCUGGCGGCACGCCUAACACAUGCAAGUCGAACGAAGUAGCAAUACUUAGUGGCAGACGGGUGAUUAACAUGUGGGUAUCUGCCCUUUGGCCUGGAAUAACACGAGGAAACUUGUGCUAAUACCGGAUAAGUCUUUACGGAGAAAGCUUUAUGCACCAUUGGAUGAGCCCGCACUUGAUUAGUUUGUUGGUGGGGUAAUGGCCUACCAAGACUGUGAUCAAUAGCUGAUUUGAGAGGAUGAUCAGCCACAUUGGGACUGAGACACGGCCCAAACUCCUACGGGAGGCAGCAGUGGGGAAUCUUGCACAAUGGAGGAAACUCUGAUGCAGCGAUGCCGCGUGAGUGAAGAAGGCCUUUGGGUUGUAAAGCUCUUUCGUCGGGGAAGAAAAUGACUGUACCCGAAUAAGAAGGUCCGGCUAACUUCGUGCCAGCAGCCGCGGUAAUACGAAGGGACCUAGCGUAGUUCGGAAUUACUGGGCUUAAAGAGUUCGUAGGUGGUUGAAAAAGUUGGUGGUGAAAUCCCAGAGCUUAACUCUGGAACUGCCAUCAAAACUUUUUAGCUAGAGUAUGAUAGAGGAAAGCAGAAUUUCUAGUGUAGAGGUGAAAUUCGUAGAUAUUAGAAAGAAUACCAAUUGCGAAGGCAGCUUUCUGGAUCAUUACUGACACUGAGGAACGAAAGCAUGGGUAGCGAAGAGGAUUAGAUACCCUCGUAGUCCAUGCCGUAAACGAUGUGUGUUAGACGUUGGAAAUUUAUUUUCAGUGUCGCAGCGAAAGCGAUAAACACACCGCCUGGGGAGUACGACCGCAAGGUUAAAACUCAAAUAAAUUGACGGGGACCCGCACAAGUAGUGGAGCAUGUGGUUUAAUUCGAAGAUACGCGCAGAACCUUACCAACACUUGACAUGUUCGUCGCGACUUUAAGAGAUUAGAGUUUUCGGUUCGGCCGGACGAAACACAGGUGCUGCAUGGCUGUCGUCAGCUCGUGUCGUGAGAUGUUGGGUUAAGUCCCGCAACGAGCGCAACCCUCACUUUUAGUUGCCAUCAUUUAGUUGGGCACUCUGAAAGAACUGCCAGUGAUAAGCUGGAGGAAGGUGGGGAUGACGUCAAGUCCUCAUGGCCCUUACGUGUUGGGCUACACACGUGCUACAAUGGUAUCUACAACAGGAAGCAAGACUGCGAGGUCAAGCAAAUCCUUAAAAGAUACCUCAGUUCGGAUUGCACUCUGCAACUCGAGUGCAUGAAGCUGGAAUUACUAGUAAUCGUGGAUCAGCGUGCCACGGUGAAUGCGUUCCCGGGUCUUGUACACACCGCCCGUCACACCAUGGGAGUUGGUUCUACCUUAAGGCAAGGUUUAAAACCCUUGACCACGGUAUAGUCAGCGACUGGGGUGAAGUCGUAACAAGGUA